CCCUUAGAUGUUCUGGGCCGCACGCGCGCUACACUGAUGCAUUCAACGAGCCUAUCCUUGACCGACAGGUCCGGGUAAUCUUUGAAUCUGCAUCGUGACGGGGAUAGAUUAUUGCAAUUAUUAAUCUUCAACGAGGAAUGCCUAGUAGGCGCAAGUCAUCAGCUUGCGUCGAUUACGUCCCUGCCCUUUGUACACACCGCCCGUCGCUCCUACCGAUUGGGUGUGCUGGUGAAAUGUUCGGAUCGGCCGUUUGUCGCGGUUUCCGCGUCAUGUGGCUGAGAAGUUCAUUAAACGCGCCCACCUAGAGGAAGGAGAAGUCGUAACA
rnacentral:rRNA from 1 species